rnacentral:lncRNA from 1 species
UAUGACUUCUCACCACUCACUUCUGAAACAGCAGAGAUAACUGUUUAAAAAAAAAAACAGUAUUAUUUUACCUCAUUCCAUUAAUUAUGAACCUCUAACACCACUCCAUCUUCAAAACUCCAAAAUACAGGCUAUCCUAAGAGAUAAGUGUAAUUAGCCCAUGAAAAUAGAGGUCCAAAUUACAACCUUAUCAAACGAUUUUCAACUCAAGGUCUGGAUAUCCAGCUCGAGCUUUGUGUCGUUCAAAUAGACCUUGAAGUGCUUCAACAAACUGGCUAUGUAUUUUGGCAACCUAAAACAAAGUU